rnacentral:rRNA from 1 species
GACAGAGGGUGCAAACGUUGUUCGGAAUUACUGAGCGUAAAGCGCGUGUAGGCGGCCCUGCAAGUCGGAUGUGAAAUCCCACGGCUCAACCGUGGAAGUGCAUUCGAAACUGCAGGGCUAGAGUCCUGGAGAGGAAGGUGGAAUGCUUGGUGUAGAGGUGAAAUUCGUAGAUAUCAAGCGGAACACCGGUGGCGAAGGCGGCCUUCUGGACAGUGACUGACGCUGAGACGCGAAAGCGUGGGGAGCAAACAGG